UACGGGGGGGGCAAGCGUUGUUCGGAAUUACUGGGCGUAAAGGGCUCGUAGGUGGCCAACUAAGUCAGACGUGAAAUCCCUCAGCUUAACUGGGGAACUGCGUCUGAUACUGGAUGGCUUGAGUUUGGGAGAGGGAGGCGGAAUUCCAGGUGUAGCGGUGAAAUGCGUAGAUAUCGGGAGGAACACCGGUGGCGAAAGCGGCGCACUGGACCACAUCUGACGCUGAGGCGCGAAAGCUAGGGGAGCAAACAGG
rnacentral:rRNA from 1 species